GAUGAACGCUGGCGGCAGGCUUAACACAUGCAAGUCGGACGCAUCCUUCGGGGUGAGUGGCAGACGGGUGAGUAACGCGUGGGAACGUGCCCUUCAGUUCGGGAUAACCCAGGGAAACUUGGGCUAAUACCGGAUACGUGCGAGAGCAGAAAGAUUUAUCGCUGAAGGAUCGGCCCGCGUCUGAUUAGCUAGUUGGUGGGGUAAUGGCCCACCAAGGCGACGAUAGUAGCUGGUCUGAGAGGAUGAUCAGCCACAUUGGGACUGAGACACGGCACAAACUCCUACGGGAGGCAGCAGUGGGGAAUAUUGGACAAUGGGCGCAAGCCUGAUCCAGCCAUGCCGCGUGAGUGAUGAAGGCCUUAGGGUUGUAAACCUCUUUCAGCACCGACGAAGCGCAAGUGACGGUAGGUGCAGAAGAAGGACCGGCCAACUACGUGCCAGCAGCCGCGGUAA
rnacentral:rRNA from 1 species